CGCUGGCCACUAGUGCAGAGGCCUGCCCCUUCAUCAUCUUGCUCUCUUUCCUUUUGGGGGUUGGUAGUGACUAUAAUAAUAUGGUCCACUCUGUGGUCUACUUUGUAAACGAGGAAACAGAUCCAGAGAGGCUAAGCCGCUUGCCCAAAGUCACACAGCCAGAAAGGGCAAAGCCGACUCAACUUCUCUCUCCUCACUCCUGAGUACUGUGGUGUUUCUGUAGUCUGAGGCUUCCUUCCUCACCUGACUCUGCCCUCCCCACUCAUCUGAGGACUCUUAGAGAGUGGAAGGUACACUCCCCGACCUGGGAAUGACUUAAAGUAUCCUCAGGGGCGGGAGUGACUAUGAGCCUUAACAAUUCUGGUUUGUUCUAAGAGAUGGGUUUGAGUCAUUGGCAUGUGAUUUCGGGUGGGUCACCUGACUCCCUGACGGGCUUCCUUACCUGUCCCACAGGACCUUUGCUGUCUCUGCUUUGCUCUGGGUGGAGCUUCACUUGAUGUAAGGAGGGGGUGAAGGAUGUUAUGCACACAGUUUGGGGUGGUGGUGGGGGGAGAGGUGUGUAGACCCCUGGUGACCUCUCUACCCUCACCACAUGGUGGACCUGGGCCUGGAGCAGACAAAGGCACACGGAUGGGAGCAGCUAUAGGUUGCAAGUCAUCAGCUCCAUCAAGAGGGAUAUGCAGAUGCCCCAUGGAUCAGCUGUGGAGCAAGAACGAGCUAACCUGGAUCCCCUCGCCUACCUCUUCUACAGCCAGAGAACGAGUUGCUAGAAGGUCACUGUGAAAGACAGGAAAUGAGACAGCCCAACCAUCUUUGAGCUUGAUGCAUACAUGGCAUUAGAACAUAUACAAAGGGCAGCCCAGGUGGCUCAGCGGUUUAGCGCAGCCUGCAGCCCGGGGUGUGAUCCUGGGGACCUGGGAUCGAGUCCCACGUCCGGCUCCCUGCGUGGAGCCUGCUUCUCCCUCUGCCUGUGUCUCUGCCCCCCGCCCCUUUCUCUGUGUCUCUCAUGAAUGAAUGAAUAAAUAAAAUCUUUAAAAAAAAGGAACA
rnacentral:lncRNA from 12 species